GCGGGCGUGGUGAAAUUGGUAGACACGCCGGCCUUAGGAGCCGGUGCCGCAAGGCUUGGGGGUUCGAGUCCCUCCGCCCGCA
rnacentral:tRNA from 1 species